AGAGAAUACCAAGGCGCUUGAGAGAACUCGGGUGAAGGAACUAGGCAAAAUGGCACCGUAACUUCGGGAGAAGGUGCGCCGGUGAGGGUGAAGGACUUGCUCCGUAAGCUCAUGCCGGUCGAAGAUACCAGGCCGCUGCGACUGUUUAUUAAAAACACAGCACUCUGCAAACACGAAAGUGGACGUAUAGGGUGUGACGCCUGCCCGGUGCCGGAAGGUUAAUUGAUGGGGUUAGCUAACGCGAAGCUCUUGAUCGAAGCCCCGGUAAACGGCGGCCGUAACUAUAACGGUCCUAAGGUAGCGAAAUUCCUUGUCGGGUAAGUUCCGACCUGCACGAAUGGCGUAACGAUGGCGGCGCUGUCUCCACCCGAGACUCAGUGAAAUUGAAAUCGCUGUGAAGAUGCAGUGUAUCCGCGGCUAGACGGAAAGACCCCGUGAACCUUUACUAUAGCUUUGCACUGGACUUUGAAUUUGCUUGUGUAGGAUAGGUGGGAGGCUUUGAAGCGUGGACGCCAGUCUGCGUGGAGCCAUCCUUGAAAUACCACCCUGGCAACUUUGAGGUUCUAACUCAGGUCCGUUAUCCGGAUCGAGGACAGUGUAUGGUGGGUAGUUUGACUGGGGCGGUCUCCUCCUAAAGAGUAACGGAGGAGUACGAAGGUGCGCUCAGACCGGUCGGAAAUCGGUCGUAGAGUAUAAAGGCAAAAGCGCGCUUGACUGCGAGACAGACACGUCGAGCAGGUACGAAAGUAGGUCUUAGUGAUCCGGUGGUUCUGUAUGGAAGGGCCAUCGCUCAACGGAUAAAAGGUACUCCGGGGAUAACAGGCUGAUACCGCCCAAGAGUUCAUAUCGACGGCGGUGUUUGGCACCUCGAUGUCGGCUCAUCACAUCCUGGGGCUGAAGCCGGUCCCAAGGGUAUGGCUGUUCGCCAUUUAAAGUGGUACGCGAGCUGGGUUUAGAACGUCGUGAGACAGUUCGGUCCCUAUCUGCCGUGGACGUUUGAGAUUUGAGAGGGGCUGCUCCUAGUACGAGAGGACCGGAGUGGACGAACCUCUGGUGUUCCGGUUGUCACGCCAGUGGCAUUGCCGGGUAGCUAUGUUCGGAAUAGAUAACCGCUGAAAGCAUCUAAGCGGGAAACUAGCCUCAAGAUGAGAUCUCACUGGAACCUUGAGUUCCCUGAAGGGCCGUCGAAGACUACGACGUUGAUAGGUUGGGUGUGUAAGCGCUGUGAGGCGUUGAGCUAACCAAUACUAAUUGCCCGUGAGGCUUGACCAU
rnacentral:rRNA from 1 species